rnacentral:misc_RNA from 1 species
UACGGAGGGUGCAAGCGUUGCUCGGAAUCACUGGGCGUAAAGGGUCCGCAGGCGGCCUGGCAAGUCGGAUGUGAAAGCCCGGGGCUCAACCCCGGAAUUGCAUUCGAAACUGCUUGGCUUGAGUACGGGAGAGGGAAGCGGAAUUCCUGGUGUAGAGGUGAAAUUCGUAGAUAUCAGGAGGAACACCUGUGGCGAAAGCGGCUUCCUGGCCCGAUACUGACGCUCAUGGACGAAAGCGUGGGGAGCAAACAGG